rnacentral:rRNA from 1 species
UACGUAGGUGGCAAGCGUUAUCCGGAUUUAUUGGGCGUAGAGGGAACGCAGGCGGUCUUUUAAGUCUGAUGUGAAAGCCUUCGGCUUAACCGGAGUAGUGCAUUGGAAACUGGGAGACUUGAGUGCAGAAGAGGAGAGUGGAACUCCAUGUGUAGCGGUGAAAUGCGUAGAUAUAUGGAAGAACACCAGUGGCGAAAGCGGCUCUCUGGUCUGUAACUGACGCUGAGGUUCGAAAGCGUGGGUAGCAAACAGG